rnacentral:sRNA from 1 species
UUCUGCUUCAUUCCAUGGCCAGAGCAAGCCACGUGGGCAAGCCGGAAGCCGGGGGGUGGGGGGGGAAGUACCCUCCACCCACCAGGAAACCAUGGCAAGCGGUGGGUGCAGAUGCAAAAACCAAGGCCAAACAGCUGAGUUUUCUGCCCUGGAGGAGGAAACUGGUCUCUGAAAGCCAGAAGACUCUCACAUUACAUCAUUCCUGCCAGCUGCUGUCAAGAGCUGCUAAGCUGUCCUCAAGUCCUGUGUCUGAUGUCAAGCUAAUAACAGAUUUAGGGUGCAUUAGUAAAGGUAUCUUAAUCAAGUCUAGGUGCCUUCGAGAUUAGACUCAGCCAUGAUGAGCAACUAAGGAUUAGCAAGAAAGAUUACAAAUUGUUUCCAGGAAUUUAUUUCUUUAAACACUGAUUAUAUGUAUAGUCUUAAGUCAAAUUAAAAUGUUGUUUAUGUUC